GACAGAGGAUGCAAGCGUUAUCCGGAAUGAUUGGGCGUAAAGCGUCUGUAGGUGGCUUUUUAAGUCUGCCGUCAAAUCCCAGGGCUUAACCCUGGACAGGCGGUGGAAACUACCAAGCUGGAGUACGGUAGGGGCAGGGGGAAUUUCCGGUGGAGCGGUGAAAUGCGUAGAGAUCGGAAAGAACACCAACGGCGAAAGCACUCUGCUGGGCCGACACCGACACUGAGAGACGAAAGCUAGGGGAGCGAAUGGG
rnacentral:rRNA from 1 species